CCUACGGGGUGCUGCAGUGGGGAAUAUUGGGCAAUGGGCGCAAGCCUGACCCAGCAACGCCGCGUGAAGGAAGAAGGCUUUCGGGUUGUAAACUUCUUUUGUCAGGGACGAAGCAAGUGACGGUACCUGACGAAUAAGCCACGGCUAACUACGUGCCAGCAGCCGCGGUAAUACGUAGGUGGCAAGCGUUAUCCGGAUUUAAUGGGUGUAAAGGGCGUGUAGGCGGGACUGCAAGUCAGAUGUGAAAACCACGGGAUAAACCUGUGGCCUGCAUUUGACAGUGUAGUUCUUGAGUACUGUAGAGGCAGACGGAAUUCCUAGUGUAGCGGUGAAAUGCGGAGAUAUUAGGAGGAACACCAGUGGCGAAGGCGGUCUGCUGGACAGCAACUGACGCUGAGGCGCGAAAGCGUGGGGAGCAAACAGGAUUAGAUACCCUAGUAGUC
rnacentral:rRNA from 1 species